GACGAACGCUGGCGGCGUGCUUAACACAUGCAAGUCGAACGGAAAGGCUCCAGCUUGCUGGAGUCCUCGAGUGGCAAACGGGUGAGUAACACGUGGGUAAGCUGCCCUGCACUCUGGGAUAAGCCUGGGAAACUGGGUCUAAUACUGGAUAUGACCUUUCUCCUUAUGGGGUUUGGUGGAAAGUUUUUCGGUGUAGGAUGAGCCCGCGGCCUAUCAGCUUGUUGGUGGGGUGAUGGCCUACCAAGGCGACGACGGGUAGCCGGCCUGAGAGGGUGAUCGGCCACAUUGGGACUGAGGUACGGCCCAGACUCCUACGGGAGGCAGCAGUGGGGAAUAUUGCACAAUGGGCGGAAGCCUGAUGCAGCGACGCCGCGUGAGGGAUGACGGCCUUCGGGUUGUAAACCUCUUUCAGCAGGGACGAAGUGUAAGUGACGUUACCUGCAGAAGAAGCACCGGCUAACUAUGUG
rnacentral:rRNA from 1 species